AGCUGGUUUUAGACACCCAAAUGUGGAUUUGGGUGCUGAUUUGGGAUUUUGGGAGGUGGAAAAAGGGGCUGCUUUUCCCUGCAGGUGCUGAUCAAGAAGAGCUAUGACCGCUCCAAGCGGCAGCGCCGCAGGAACUGGAAGCUGAAGGAGCUGGAAAGGGACAGGGAAGCCACGGACACAGAUGAUGAAAGACAAUACCAGGACUUCCUGGAAGAUCUGGAGGAGGAUGAGAACAUACGGAAGAAUGUCAACAUUUACAGAAAUGCAGAUAUUCCAGUGGAGAGUGACACAGAUGAUGAUGGAGCUCCACGGAUCAGCCUGGCUGAAAUGCUGGAGGAUCUCCACAUUUCCCAGGACGCCACGGGAGGGGAGGGAGCAGAAAUGCUGACAGAGUAAGGACAGAGCCUUACAUGCAAUAAAUAUUCCCCUGGAGAGGAAAAACUCCCCAGACCACAAUUAACCAUCACAAGAAAAGUGACAAAACUCCCACUGCACCCCAAAAUAAUGGCCUGGAAUUCAUAUUUUAUGGAUGAUAUUCCAGAGGAAUCAGCAAUUUGAGUUCAAUUUCUGGUGGAAGCAUUGCAAUAUCAAUUCCACAAAUUCUUCCCAUCCCUGAGGGAUCUUUCCAUGCAAUUUCUGCAGUGGAGAAAAUAAGGAAGGAUGUCCAGAGGGAAAGACUUUAUUCCAGUUUCCUGGAUUUUAGGUGGAGUCCCUACCUACUGUUACAGCUUUAAUUUCUCACAUGGGGAAGGUUUUCCCCAUUUUUUGGCGCAAUGGUUUGAAGCCUUUUAUGAUACUGGUAGAUUUUUUCAUAUAUCCAUAUUUUGGGGAAGCUCAAGACUGUAAUUUCUGUUCCCUCACACAAAGAAAACCUCCCUGGAAAGCCCUUGAUGAGAAAGAUUGGAAAAUCCUGUGGAGUGUGAUGAAUAUUGAACUGUAUCUCAUGUCUGGAUGAGUGGAUUAAAAGCAACAUGCUCAGUAAUUAAUUAAUAAAUCAGCUAUAAAGGAUUUAAAAACCUCU